CCAGAGGCCCAGAGACCCGCAAUGUCACAGAGAUAGACUCACAGCUCUAGAGAAAUGGAAGUGUGGAGAACCCCAAAGACAGUGUGGGGGUGCCGGCUAUAAAAUCCAGGAGUGACGACACCAGCCAGGGCCCUGUCUCCUAGACUCCUCCCAACUCGGGGACGAGGCUGCUACCUGCACCCCUGUGCCCCCAGAGAGGAAACCACUUGUCCAAAGUCAGCCGGCUGCAGGUGCAAAAGACUGGAAUCAUCAGUAAAGCUUGGAAAAGCAUGGAGGCUGCAAGUGGCUCUUCAGGAGAGUGACUCCAAAGCAGAGGUCAGAGUUCAUAGGAUUAAGUGGACAGCUCUCAGUUUCACAGGUAGGGGUCAAAGCAAAGAGAGCACAACCUAGUAAUGGGAAAACCCAAGUUGUCCUGUAAGCACAAUAAAGACUUUAGCCAAUUCUACCCAGUGGUUAUACUGAAUCUUGACAAGAAGACUGUCUAGACAUUGCACACUGACUAGUUAUGAAAAUAACUUUAGGCCAAUGAGAUGAUUUAAGGAGUGAUUAUCGAUGCUUGCUGCCAAGCCUGAUGACCUGGGUUUGAUUCCUGGGAUCCACUUUGUGGAAGCAGAGGACUGACAAUGGAGAGUUUUCCUCUUACCUCCACAUGAGCAUUUUGACAUACACAUGUGUGCAUGCACAAAAUAGCAACCUAAGAUAUAUCAAAUGACUGUAUUUAUUUUUACAAAUGUGUGUGUUUACAAGUGUGUAGACAUGCAGGGGCACAUUUAUGUGGGUCAUGAGACAACUUUUAGAAAUUGGUUAUUUCUUUCAUCAUGAGAUUCCCAGGGAUGGAUUCCUAGUUGUCAGGCUUGUUGGCACACACCUUUACAUAUUCACUGAGUCAUCUCACUGGCUUUAAUGAGUGAGAACAAUGAUUCUUAUUUGAACAAAGACUGGUCCAUUUUUCAGGCAGUGCUAAGAACUAGAGUUGGAAGAGCUUCACCCAACAGGAAGCAGGAAGCUUCAUAUACGUAAUGAAAGCCAAACAGGGAAACUCAGUCUUCCAUGCAACAGAGUUGGCAGGAGGGGUAUAAAGACAGAGUUUGAAGGGAAGGACUCAUGGUAGAGUUGGAAGGAUGGUCAUAAAAGAGUUGGGGAAGGUCCUGAAGGACAAAGUUGUUCAGAGUUGUCUGGAGCAGCCUUGUGGACGGAGUUGGGAGGAGAGACUUCAUAAACAAGGUUAGGAGGAAUGAUUUCAUGGAUAUAGUCAGGAGAAGUAGUCCCAAGGACAAAGAUGAAAAGAGGGAGCCACAUGGACACAACUGGGGAGAGGGGUGGUGAGAGUUUGAAUGUAAUUGGCUCCCAUAAUCUAACAGGGAGUGACGCUAUUAGCAGGUAUGAAUUUGCUGGUGUAGGUGUGGUCUUGUUGGAGGAAACGUAUCACUGUUGAGGCAGGCGUUGAAGUCUCAUAUAUGUGCAAGCCAUGCCCAGUGAUUCAGUCUACUUCCUGUUGCUUUCUGAUCAAGAUGGAGCCAGCACCAUGUCUACCUACCAUGAUGAUAAUGGAAUGAACUUCUGAAGAUGUAAGUGAGCCACUCCAAUAAAAUAUUUUCUCUAUAAGUUUUGCAAUGGUCAUGGUGUCUCUCCACAGCAAUAGAAACCCUAAUUAAGACAGGGACCCCAUAGACAAAGUUGAGGGAGGGGUGGGCUCAUGUAUCAGAUUGUGAGAGGGGCCCAAAGACAUGGGUGGGAGGAUGGACCUGAUGGACAUAGCUGGGAAGAGGGGUCUGAUGGGUAUUGUUUAGGUCAUGAGAAUUCCAGAUGCAUGGAUGUCUUCAGCUUAUCAAGUCAAUUUCUCUCUUCUUUUACCCUGUCACCUUAUACCAUGGGUUAUAGCAGCAAGGACUCCUAUGCUAAAAGCCAGCAUCUAGAGAUAAUAUUUCCCAAAAUAGUGAAGAACAAAUCUUUAUCUUCCCCAUUUUAUUCAUUUUUAUGCAAGUAUAGUGUGUGUAUUUAACAUAUCCUUUCCAUUUUCCUCUACCUUCCAUUUUCUUACCCUUCUCCCACAGCACUUGUUCCUCAAGACAAUUUUAUUUCAUUUUUUAAAAAGAUUAUUUGUGUGUGUGUGUGUGUGUGUGUGUGUGUGUUUGAGUAUGUCUGUGCACCAUGUGUGCAAGUGACCAUGGAGGCCAGGAGAAGAUGUUAAUUCCUUGGAAAUAUAAUUAUAAGAGGGUUGUGAGUUGCCAUGUGGGUGCUGAGAACCAAAUCUGUCCUUUGGAAGAGCAGCAAGUGCCCUUAAGCACUGAGCCAUGAUGUCAGUCCUGGUAUUUGCCUUCCUAGACUGACAUAUAUGAUUAUGUCCUGUUGUAAAUGGACAUUUUUCUCCCAACUGCCCUACCCAGCAGCUGCUUCCAAAUUGCCACACAUAGACAUAGUGUUAUUAUAAAUACUCAAUUGUUCAGCUUUCACAUUUUAAGUUAGCCCAUAUUCCUUAUUUACUCUCUAUGUGGUGAUAUCUGUUUUUACAUGGUGCUUUCAUCUUCUUCUCCCUCUGUGUCUAGCUGUCUUCUCUAGACUUUGCCAUUCUCCUUCCCAUUAUCUUCAGUUUGGUCACCAUGUUAUACUUCCUGCCUGGUUACUUGCAAUCAGAAUUGUAUUAAACCAGUUUACAGUUUACAAUAGGAUUAUUCCAUGGCAGUUAUUUUGCUUGUUUGUGAGUCAGGGUCUUACACAGUGCAGGCUGGAUUCACUAUGUAGCUGAAACUGACCUUGAAUUUUUUCUUCCUGCCUCCACCUCCUAAGUCUUAGCAUGACAAACAUAUGUCAGAACAGGUAACUUUAAUGGGAAUGUUUGGUACUCUUGGGACCAAGAAGGGGUAGAAAAAAAAAGAGGAAAAAAAAUCUGCAAAGGUGGAAAUAGAUGGGUUUUAUGAUAGGCAGACUUCUUUAUAGAAUUUUUUUAUGGUUUUAUUGUUUUGGCUCUUUUAUAUCAUUAAAGAAAGUAAUCUUUAAUAACAGUAUUUAGUUAUUUAAUUCCAUUUAGGUCAUGCAUCUUUUAUCUGAAAAGCCUUCACAUCUGUGAGGGUGAGUUUUGAACAAAGAUUGACAGCUUUCUUGAAGUAGAAGUAAAAUCACGUAUAAAAAUCUCUGUGGAAAACUUUUUUUUUUUGUCCAGACCAAGUGACCAAGAGAGAGGAAAGGAAGGCACCGAAAGUACAUUGCCCCCAACCCAUACUGUUUCUCACUAAUUAAACUUCAAAGCAAUUGAUCUUAUUAGAAAGAUCACAUGACAAGUUUUUCAUAGAUUCAUGUCUACCAAAGAUAAAAGCUUGAACAAAAAGCAUCAAAUGGACUGAAUCAUAUUAUCAAGCAUUUUCAGAAUAGGAAGGUGAGAGACUUAUAAUGUGUUCAAGUUGUGAUCCUUAGAAGUUCUUUCAAGAAGAAAAGAAAAGAAUAGGAAACGUGUACUAGUUACUUUUCUGUUGCUAUGAGAAAACACCAUGACUAUGGCAACUUAAGGUGAAAAAAAGAAGAGUUUUGUUUGUCUUAUGGAUCCAGAGGAUGACAAGUUCAUCAUACUCAGAAGAUAAAUCAGGGGGCAUUCAGGAAGCUGAGAGAUCAAAUCCUCAAACACAAGCCAAGAAUCAGAGAGAGCAAAGAGGAAGUACAGCUUCCAAGCUCACCCUCAGUGACACAUUCACUCCAGCAAGGCAGGACUUCUUACCUUGCCUCAAACAGUACAUCAAAUUGGAGGGUGAGUGUUCAAAUGCCCGAGCCUGUGAAGAGUGCUCCUCAUUCAAACCACCAAAGAAGGGGAAAUGGCUCAUUUUAUAAUUUUAUAUAGUUAUUGUGGCAGACACAAGAGUAUCUGAGUUUGAUAGCCAGAACCAAUGUUAAUACAUUAAAAAAACAAACAAAAACAAAAACAAAACCCAAGAAAGUAAAAACAAGUGUGUCGAGGGGGGUGGCGUGGAGGGGGCAGGACCACUAGUGCUAGGCCCCAGAGACUAGUGAAUCCCUGGGGCUUGACAGCCAACUAGCCUAACCUGCCCUGCAAGUUCCAGGUAGGGGGAAAAACCCUGUCUACUGAAAAACAACAAUAAUAAACAGGAUGCUCUGACCAAAAGCAAUUUAAGAAAGAAAAGGUUUACUUUAACGGCCAGUUCCUGGGUACUGCCCUUUAUUUCGGGAAAAUCGAAGGGGAAACUUCAAGCUCAUGGGCACAUUACAUUCAGAGAGAGAAUCAAUGAGUUAGUGUGUAGUCCUAAACUAGUUUUCUUUGCUCUGUACAAAUCAGACCCCAAACCCAAGGAAGAGUGCCACCUUCUUUCAGGCUAGGUUUUCCCACAUCAGUUAAAGCUACAAGGACAAACAUGCCCAUGGGACAACCUGACUUAGACAGUUCCUGAGGAACACACUUUCUUCCCCACGUGAUUCUAAGUUAUAUCAAACUGACAGUUAAAACCAGCCAACACCGCUUCCUUGUCAUUUUAUCUAACAGGUUUGGUAAGCAAGAAGGGCCAGCCCUCCACCUUUUGAACUUGACAGUGUGAAUUCUGGCCCUGGUUCUGUAUACCAUGUGAUGCUUUAAAGGCACGCCCUUCUGUUAGACUUCUCAUAGCAUCACCAGUGUGUGUGUAUAUGUGUAAGUAAGUGAGCCUGUAUCUGGUGCGUAUGUAUGUGGCUAAAAGUACAGGUACCCAAGGAGGCUGGAGAUGUCGGAUCAUUUGGAGCUGGAGUUGGAGGCCUUUGUGAGCAACCCAAGAUGGGUGUUAGGAAUUCAAUUCCUGUCCUCUGAAAGAGUGGCAUCGACUCUUAACCAGUAAGCUUUAUUUCCAUCCCAGAACAGUGUUUUCAGUGAGAAGUUGAACUAUCAUGCCCCAUUUAGGGAGUUAUCAUUUUGUGAAUGCCAGUGAGAAGUUCUACAUCAAAUAAUUAGGAACAUAAAUCCUAGAUACCUGUCUUCUAGUAGAACAGGGUCCCAGACUUUUGCACAAUGGAUUCCAUGAUGGAAGUACCAACCAAGUCAUAAAAUUGAGCACAUAGGCAUUACCACCUACCAAAAAUAAAAAUAAAGACCUAAUCUAUUAAAGAUCAUACUUCUGGGAAAGUAUCUACAUGUACUAACAUUGCUUUUUUGGCUUCUGCUGUUCUGUUUAUGGCUAACUGUUCUUGUUAGCUGAAGUAUGACAACUCAGAAUAUGGUUUUGGUGCUUAAAAGCUCACCCUGAGGAAAGUUUUGGUCUACACUGGGAUCCUGAACACCUAGUAUAGUCCCUGGCUGGCCAAUGAAGACUUCCUAUUGACUCAAAUCUGUCUUAACACUCUUCUUUCCUGGAUAUCCCACAACACUCAGGAGCUCACUGGCUAGUGUGGAGAUGUCAAGAUGAACACACCCUGAGAUUUUUAUCAUGAUAUGAAGAAGAGUUUGGUGCUCAUUUUCCCGUCUUUGGUGCUUAACAAAUGAAGCUUUCCCUAGGCAAACUUAGCAGGGGUUCUGCUGCCAUGGUUUCUUUGAGUUGUGACUCAGUUUCUGAACUUGGUAUUUUAGCUAUGGCAUGAUGUCAAAUGCCCAAUCCUGUCAUAGAUUAUUUUUUAUGUAAGUUAACCCAAAUCAGUUAACUUGGCAAACAAAUUUCUUGCUAUUAGAGUUGUUAGAAUGUUAAAUAUUUCAGUGCCAGUCUGUAAUCAUCAUUACCUGGUGUAAUGUGUUGUCUUUCCCGCCAGCUGCCUGGGCCCUGCUGAGCUGUCUGAACCUCCAAAUAACACACAAGACACUCUAUUAAUUAUGAAGCUGUUGGCCAUCUAUUGUUUCUCAUUGGCUAACUUUGACUUAAUUAUUGACCCAUAAUUGCCAAUAUAUAUUUUUAUAAGGACUUAUCUUUUCGAGAAUGCAGACUUGCUUCCCUUCUUCCUUGGAAUCACAUGGUGACCACUUCCUUCACUACAUUUCCCAGAAUCAUCCUAGACUCCUAGUCCCACCUAUCUUGCUUCCCUACUGGCAAACAGUACUUUAUUUACAUAUACACAUAA